rnacentral:rRNA from 1 species
UGGGGAAUAUUGCACAAUGGAGGGAACUCUGAUGCAGCGACGCCGCGUGAACGAAGAAGGCUUUCGAGUCGUAAAGUUCUUUUAUAUGGGAAGAUAAUGACGGUACCAUAAGAAAAAGCCCCGGCUAACUACGUGCCAGCAGCCGCGGUAAUACGAAGGGGGCUAGCGUUGUUCGGAUUUACUGGGCGUAAAGCGCACGUAGGCGGACUAUUAAGUCAGGGGUGAAAUCCCGGGGCUCAACCCCGGAACUGCCUUUGAUACUGGUAGUCUUGAGUUCGAGAGAGGUGAGUGGAAUUCCGAGUGUAGAGGUGAAAUUCGUAGAUAUUCGGAGGAACACCAGUGGCGAAGGCGGCUCACUGGCUCGAUACUGACCCUGCGGUGCGAAAGCGUGGGGAGCAAACAGG